UGGGUAACCUGCCUCAAAGAGGGGAAUAGCCUCCCGAAAGGGAGAUUAAUACCGCAUAAUAUGUUUUAGUCGCAUGACUUAAACAUCAAAGGAUUUUCUUUUAGAAAUUCCACUUUGAGAUGGACCCGCGGCGCAUUAGCUAGUUGGUGAGGUAACGGCUCACCAAGGCAACGAUGCGUAGCCGACCUGAGGAGGGCGAUCCGGCCACACGUGGGACUGAGACACGGCCCAGACUCCGUAGGAG
rnacentral:rRNA from 1 species